rnacentral:miRNA from 1 species
UGCAGUUCCUGUUCCAGAAG